rnacentral:lncRNA from 1 species
UGGUGGGGUCAUACUGAUAAAAGUACCAUGUUUCUGUCUGUGGUGAUGAAAAACUAAUAAAAAUAUCAUAUUUUUGUUCGUGGUGAGGUCAUACUGAUAAAAAUACCAUGUUUCUGCUAAUAAUGUGGCCAUACUAAUAUUGUGACUAAUCCAGAAGCCUUGAUUUUAAAUUGUUAUAAAUUAUUUCUUUCACUUUAUUAUUAUUAUU